UACGGGGGGAGCAAGCGUUGUUCGGAAUUAUUGGGCGUAAAGGGCGCGUAGGCGGUGCGGUAAGUCACCUGUGAAACCUCUAGGCUUAACCUAGAGCCUGCAGGCGAAACUGCCGUGCUGGAGUGUGGGAGAGGUGCGUGGAAUUCCCGGUGUAGCGGUGAAAUGCGUAGAUAUCGGGAGGAAUACCGGUGGCGAAGGCGGCAUCCUGGACCAUUACUGACGCUGAGGCGCGAAAGCUAGGGGAGCAAACGGG
rnacentral:rRNA from 1 species